rnacentral:lncRNA from 1 species
CUGCUGGGCGCCAUCUUGUCUUCUCCUAGCACACUUUGUAUUGUUCGAAGUUGAGAGAGAAGGAGCCGGAGUCUCCGAGGUGGCGUUGGGUGGGGGCGCUACUAGCUCCCGUUCUCUCAGCGUCUCUAGAGGGAAGGGCGCCGGUGGGAGCAGGAGAGUCUGCACCGGGCAGGCCUCCUUAGGUGCCGGGUUGCGCGCAGGGCCCUGUGCUUGUCUCGCCUCCGGUUGGCUCAGGCCUCGGAGCAUGAGUGCGCCGGCAACUGCUGGGCCCGGGACAGUGAAGCAGAGGAGGAGGUGGGGGAGGCGAGCCCAGGUCGGGGAAGGGCAGCACCUGAAUCACCCUUGGGGCCCAGACCCCCAAGAGUCUCCGGGGAGCCGAGGCCUGGCGAGGCAGUCCCGGGAUUCGCCCCCUCCCCGCUGGCCCGAGGGCGCACCACGUGCUGGGCAGAGACUUCGGCGAGGCCGAGUGGACCCUGCAGCGCUGCUUGGGAAAGGGCACCUUGGACUACCUGGUGGGGGCGUUGUGCUUCGUUACCGACCGCCGGGACGCCAACCCACGGUGCCCACCCGUGCGUCAUUCCGCUGUGGAUCAGCCCUUUGGCGGCCCCCCUCCAAAGUCUACAAGGUCACACGGAUGUCUGCAGGCAGAGGUGGGGCUGCUGGGGCCCUGCCAGGAGCCACUGGCGCUGCCUUUGGGAAUGAAGUUCCACAGCCCCCCACUCAUUGCUUUGGCUGUCUGCUGCAUUUGAAACUGUACGAGGGUCAGGAAGAAGGCUGCGGGGAUGAAUGGCUCUACCGGCUUGCCACGGAUGGGGAACUGGAGCAGCCAGUGGCCCCAAGAGGAGGA